UCCUCCUCUUCUCUCCCCUUCCAGAAAAUGCCGCACGGUGUUGUUAUGUCAAAUCCACGGAUAUUCCCAGGGGACAGGAUUUUAGAGACGGGAGAAAUUAUUCCACCCCUGAAAGAAGAACCCGAUGAGCACCACUGAUGGCUAAAGGCUGAUUUCCUCCUUCAGCGAACAAGGCGAGCACUGCAGCUGCUUUAUCUCUUCUAUAAAAGAGUCUUUAUUCCGCAUUGCCUCAGCUUUUCUGUCAUUUACUUUCUCCUUAGCCCAAUUUCUUCAGUUGCUCCUC